GGGCUCAUGCGAGGUCACGCGGUGGGAGAUCGAUAGCGCAAUCAAUCAUCUCCCCUUACUCCGCUUCAUUCCUCUGCAAUGGCAACCGCGCCUCCGCCUCUCCUCCACCUCCGGCUUCCCCCAAAAUCCAUUUGAUCCUCUCAUCCUCGCCUCGCCUCGCCUCGCCUCGCCUCGGCGAAUCCGAUUCCGAGCACUCACAACCGGAUUGAAGCGAGUUCCAUGGCCUGAAUCGCGGAGGGUGGGGGGGUGGGGGGACUGGCCGAGGAGCGGGGCGCCUAUCUCUCUCACACACUGAUAAUUUCUGCGGGAUCAAGUGAAGCCUCGACACGACGUACCCUCGUCUCAUUCCUCAGUUUACAGAGUCCAGUUACAAGAAGGCUGUUGAUGUUUUGUAAGUCACAGUUGGGAAGAAAAUUUGAACUUGUAAUGGCUAAAGGAACACAAUAACUUUGGGUUGCAUCCCGAUGUGAACAGCACAUUAUUCAGUUUGCGUUAAUCAUCAAAAAGUGGUUAUAGUAGACAAAAAUAGUUUGGAAGAACUGGGAGCCUAAGGAUCCUUUCAAUAGGUGUCCGUGUUUGGCCGGCUUGAGACCAUCUUAACAUUGAAGGUGCGGGAAAUUGAACAAAUGUAAAAGGCGAGAUGCUGAUGUUCGGUGUAGAUGACAUGGAUACCUGAAUCAGUCCAAAGCUGCUUAGGUUGGAGCUACUUCUCGAUAGGAAUAUCAGAGGAAAGGUUGUCCUUAUAUAAAUUGUCAAUCUAGCAAGAAGUACAGUGGAACACAGAGGACGCAAUAAAAGAAGUGGAUUACAAAGUGUCGUCCUUAUUUACCAUCAUAUAUUGUUUUAAUGAAAAUAUUGCAUUUUAUUAUGCAUCUAAUUGUUAUUAUAAAUGUUACGAGGGAUAGUAUGAAUUUCAUACUAUAUGAGUGCAUUGUUUGCCGACAGAAAAAUGAUGAGUUGGACAAUUCCAGAGGAUGUGACACAAACUGCCAUCAGCCAAGCCCACUAAUUGUGUUUGAGUUUUUGAGUUGCUCCCCAUCUUUUAGUGAUUAUUUCAUACUCUGUGGAUGAUGUUUUACACCGUGUAACAGAGUUGACUGAAUCUGAGAUAAUGUUACAGAAUGAAAAGCACUACCAUUAUGUUA